rnacentral:tRNA from 1 species
GGGAAGGUAGCUCAGUGGUAGAGUACUUGCCUUGCAUGCAUGAGGCCCUGGGUUCGGUUCCUCAGCACCA